rnacentral:rRNA from 1 species
UUGCAGGCUGCAACUCGCCUGCAUGAAGUUGGAAUUGCUAGUAAUCGCGAAUCAGAAUGUCGCGGUGAAUACGUUCCCGGGCCCUGUACACACCGCCCGUCACACCAUGAGAGUCGAUAACACCCGAAGCCUGUGAGCUAACCGCAAGGGGGCAGCAGUCGAAGGUGGGGUUGAUGAUUGGGGUGAAGUCGUAACAAGGUAAC